AUUGAACGCUGGCGGCAUGCUUUACACAUGCAAGUCGAACGGCAGCGGGGGCUUCGGCCUGCCGGCGAGUGGCGAACGGGUGAGUAAUGCAUCGGAACGUGCCCAUGUCGUGGGGGAUAACGUAUCGAAAGGUACGCUAAUACCGCAUACGUCCUGAGGGAGAAAGCGGGGGGAUCUUCGGACCUCGCGCGAUUGGAGCGGCCGAUGUCGGAUUAGCUAGUAGGUGAGGUAAAGGCUCACCUAGGCGACGAUCCGUAGCGGGUCUGAGAGGAUGAUCCGCCACACUGGGACUGAGACACGGCCCAGACUCCUACGGGAGGCAGCAGUGGGGAAUUUUGGACAAUGGGCGCAAGCCUGAUCCAGCCAUGCCGCGUGAGUGAAGAAGGCCU
rnacentral:rRNA from 1 species